CCAGAAUUGACAAACUGAUGAUCCAUAGAUUGAUCCAUUGACUUGGUUCUGUAAUUCAGCAUCUGACUGAUAAAAAGUGACAAGUCAUUUUAAAACACACACACACACACACACACACACACACACACACACACACACACAGUCACACAGUACAUAACCAUAUACGAGAAUGUAUUACUUACAGCUUAGAAUUUUUGUGUUAGAUUGAAUUCUGUUAAAAUAAUUUUUAUAAGUUCAAUUUCCUUUUUCCAUUUUUAUUUUAAAUUACAACACAAAAUGUCUGAAACAACAGACUGCAAAAGGCACAAAAGAGACAAAAUCAUCAAAAGAUACACAAACACAAAAUCAAGACAGAAGAUAAGCAGAUACUGCAAACCUUAACAGAGGACUCUGCAGUAUUUGAUCCUUAUAAUAUAUAUUAGGCCAAUCUCCGCAGAUGCUUCCCUUUGAAGUCAGAUUAUAUCUUCCCUUGAAAACCCCUGUGUAUGAGGUGUGUGCAUGAGGUGUGUGUGUGUGUGUGUGUGUGUGUGUGUGUGUGUGUGUGUGGAGCUGCCUUCCCAAUAAUCUGACAGUACUCUUCUACCUACAUAAAGUUCUUGAAAUUUAAAUCUUUGAAUUGAACCUUUCUGUGUUCAGAGGGGGAUUUGACUGAAAACAAUGAACACUUUCAGUUUCUGAAGGUUCUGACUCUUCUCUUACAAGAUUAGAGCCCAUUCUCCUCACCAGAUAGAUAUUAAGUACUUUAUAUACACAAAGUUUAUGCUUACCACCUGCAAACUGUUCAUGUCUUAAGGACUGUUUCACAGGUGCAUGUGCAAUAAUUGUUUAUGGUAUUGAACAAGCAUGAAAAACAUCAUUUAAACCCUUUCCAAUAAAGAUCUGUAAAGCUUAUUUGGAUUAUACAAAAUUAUCUUUAACAUACAGUCUCCUGAAAAAGGGACAUUUCUCUUUUUUUUGCCGAGUAUAUAGAUCAGAGAAGAGUGUUGUGCUCUUAACCUGAAUAUAUGUGUGUGGGUUCUAACAUUUAUUUCAGUGUUCAAAUCAGCUACAGUCAGGUCCAUAAAUAUUUGGUUAUUUUUAUUUUAGCUAUCCACCACAAUAUAUUGGAGUUGAAAUAAAAUAAUGAAUGUGAACCCAAAGUACAGACUUCAGCUCUAAGUUGAGGAUAUUUACAUCCAAAUAAGGGUGAACAGUGUCGGAAUUACAGAUCUUUUUAAAUGUACUCCACCCCAACGCCACCCCCCCCCC
ensembl:lncRNA